rnacentral:rRNA from 1 species
GGAUAACCUACCCUUAGGACCGGGAUAACCCUGGGAAACUGGGGAUAAUACUAGAUAGGCAAUUUUUCCUGGAAUGGUUUUUUGUUUAAAUGUUUUUUCGCCUAAGGAUGGGUCUGCGGCCGAUUAGGUAGUUGGUUAGGUAAUGGCUUACCAAGCCGUUGAUCGGUACGGGUUGUGAGAGCAAGAGCCCGGAGAUGGAACCUGAGACAAGGUUCCAGGCCCUACGGGGUGCAGCAGGCGCGAAACCUCCGCAAUGUGAGAAAUCGCGACGGGGGGAUCCCAAGUGCCAUUCUUAACGGGAUGGCUUUUCAUUAGUGUAAAAAGCUUUUGGAAUAAGAGCUGGGCAAGACCGGUGCCAGCCGCCGCGGUAACACCGGCAGCUCUAGUGGUAGCAAUUUUUAUUGGGCCUAAAGCGUCCGUAGCCGGUUUAAUAAGUCUCUGGUGAAAUCCUGUAGCUUAACUGUGGGAAUUGCUGGAGAUACUAUUAGACUUGAGACCGGGAGAGGUUAGAGGUACUCCCAGGGUAGAGGUGAAAUUCUGUAAUCCUGGGAGGACCGCCUGUUGCGAAGGCGUCUAACUGGAACGGUUCUGACGGUGAGGGACGAA